rnacentral:rRNA from 1 species
UGAGGAAUCUUCCACAAUGGGCGAAAGCCUGAUGGAGCAACGCCGCGUGCAGGAUGAAGGCCUUCGGGUUGUAAACUGCUUUUAUAAGUGAGGAAUAUGACGGUAACUUAUGAAUAAGGAUCGGCUAACUACGUGCCAGCAGCCGCGGUCAUACGUAGGAUCCGAGCGUUAUCCGGAGUGACUGGGCGUAAAGAGUUGCGUAGGGGGUUUGUUAAGUAGAUAGUGAAAUCUGGCGGCUCAACCGUACAGGCUAUUAUCUAAACUGACAAACUCGAGAAUGGUAGAGGUUACUGGAAUUUCUAGUGUAGGAGUGAAAUCCGUAGAUAUUAGAAGGAACACCAAUGGCGUAGGCAGGUAACUGGACCAUUUCUGACACUAAGGCACGAAAGCGUGGGGAGCGAACC